CUCAGGCUCCUCGAUGAAAGCUAAAGCCCAGUGGAUAAGUGAAGAGAAUCUCUGCAAGAAAGGCACACCCGAUCACCAUACUUGGAAGGCAAAGGCAAGCCAAGCCCAAGGAAGCCCUACUGGUUGACCAAAGCUAGUCAAGCCCUUUUUGCCAAGACAUGCUCCUGCGCCCACUGCUCUGCUGGCUGCCUAAAGGAAAGCACAGGAGAUGAACUUACUUAUUCACUGAGGAGUGUGGCUGCCUUUGAGAACAGAGUAGGAAAAGCAAGUGAGAGAGAGAAAAAAACAGUACUUGUGCAAUGGAAAGACUUGGCAAACAUUACCCUAUUCAAAGUUGACAUUAGCGGUGACAAGGAGGAUUGGUGGACUCAUAUGAUGGGAUGAGAAAGGCUCGUCUCUGUGACAUCUCCCGAGUCUGUUACCCUCAUUUCAUCAUAAGAAAAACAGCCAACUUCAAUUUGAAAGACUUUUCCCCCAAAUACAUGACCAAUACUCUUCAAAGUUGUCACGGUCAUAAAAAAAGGAAAGUUUGUAAACCUC
ensembl:lncRNA